rnacentral:lncRNA from 1 species
UGAGGCUGUGCACAGGGCCUCUUUCUUUCCUUCCUUUCUUCCCUUUCUUUUCUUCUUUCUUUCUCUUUCUUCCUUUCCUUUCUUCCUUUCUUUCCUUUCCUUCCUUCCUCCCUCUUUCUUUCCUUUCUUCCUUUCUUCUUUCUUUCUUUUGCUUUCUUUCUUUCCUUUUCCUUUCUUCCUUUCCUGUCUUCCUUUCUUUCCUUUCCUUUCCUUCCUUUCUCCCUCUUUCUUUCCUUUCUUCCUUUCUUCCUUUCUUCUCUUUCUUCCUUCCUUUCUUUCUCUCUUUCUUCUUUCUUUUUCUUUCUCUUUCCUUUUCCUUUCUUCCUUUCCCUUCCUUUCUUUCCUUUCCCUUCCCUUCCUUCCUUCCUCCCUCCCUUCCUCCCUGCCUCCCUCCCGCUCUCUCUUUCUUUCUUUUCUUCUUUCCCU